UACGGAGGGUGCGAGCGUUGUCCGGAAUCACUGGGCGUAAAGGGCGCGUAGGCGGCGCGGAAAGUCGUCGGUGAAAGCUCGGGGCUCAACCCUGAGUCUGCCGGUGAUACUCCCGCGCUCGAGCUCACUAGAGGCAGAUGGAAUUCCGGGUGUAGCGGCGGAAUGCGUAGAGAUCCGGAAGAACACCGGUGGCGAAGGCGGUCUGCUGGGGUGAGGCUGACGCUGAUGCGCGACAGCGUGGGGAGCAAACAGG
rnacentral:rRNA from 1 species